rnacentral:rRNA from 1 species
ACGGCUCAGUAACACGUGGACAACCUACCCUCCGGACGGGUAUAAACCNGGAAACUGGGUAUAAUCCCCGAUAGAUCUCGGUCGCUGGAAAGCCCCGAGAUCGAAAGCUCCGGCGCCAGAGGAUGGGUCUGCGGCCUAUCAGGUAGUAGUGGGUGUAGCGUACCUACUAGCCUACGACGGGUACGGGUUGUGAGAGCAAGAGCCCGGAGAUGGAUUCUGAGACACGAAUCCAGGCCCUACGGGGUGCAGCAGGCGCGAAAACUUUACAAUGCCGGCAACGGCGAUAAGGGGACCUCGAGUGCCAGGUUACAAAUCUGGCUGUCGUGAUGCCUAAAAAGCAUUGCAUAGCAAGGGCCGGGCAAGACCGGUGCCAGCCGCCGCGGUAACACCGGCGGCUCGAGUGGUAACCGUUAUUAUUGGGUCUAAAGGGUCUGUAGCCGGCCGGAUAAGUCUCUUGAGAAAUCCAGCAGCUCAACUGUUGGGCUUUCAGGAGAUACUGUUCGGCUCGAGGCCGGGAGAGGUGAGAGGUACUUCAGGGGUAGGGGUGAAAUCUUGUAAUCCUUGAAGGACCACCAGUGGCGAAGGCGUCUCACCAGAACGGACCUGACGGCAAGGGACGAAAGCUAGGGGCACGAACCGGAUUAGAUACCCGGGUAGUCCUAGCCGUAAACGAUACUCGCUAGGUGUCGGCCACGGUGCGACCGUUGUCGGUGCCGUAGGGAAGCCGUGAAGCGAGCCACCUGGGAAGUACGGCCGCAAGGCUGAAACUUAAAGGAAUUGGCGGGGGAGCA